rfam:Ailuropoda melanoleuca scaffold262_98, whole genome shotgun sequence.
GCCUGGGUGGCACAGUGGUUAAGCGUCUGACUUCGGCUCAGGGCGUGAUCCCGGUGUUGUGGGAUCGAGCCCCACAUCAGGCU